GAUGAACGCUGGCGGCGUGCUUAACACAUGCAAGUCGAACGAAGCACUUUAUUUUAUUUCCUUCGGGACUGAUUAUUUUGUGACUGAGUGGCGGACGGGUGAGUAACGCGUGGGUAACCUGCCUUGUACAGGGGGAUAACAGUUGGAAACGGCUGCUAAUACCGCAUAAGCGCACGGCAUCGCAUGAUGCAGUGUGAAAAACUCCGGUGGUAUAAGAUGGACCCGCGUUGGAUUAGCUAGUUGGUGAGGUAACGGCCCACCAAGGCGACGAUCCAUAGCCGAUGGUUGAGGGUGACUGGUCACGUUGGGACUGAGACACGGCGUAAACUCCUACGGGAGGCAGCAGUUGGGAAUAAUGCACAAGGGGCGAAAGGCUGAUGAAGCGACGCCGAGUGAACGAAGAAGUAUUUCGGUAUGUAAAGCUAUAUCAGCAGGGAAGAUAAUGACGGUACCUGACUAAGAAGCACAGGCUAAACACGUG
rnacentral:rRNA from 1 species